rnacentral:rRNA from 1 species
CCUACGGGUGGCAGCAGUGAGGAAUAUUGGUCAAUGGACGAGAGUCUGAACCAGCCAAGUAGCGUGAAGGAUGACUGCCCUAUGGGUUGUAAACUUCUUUUAUAUGGGAAUAAAAUGUUCCACGUGUGGGUUUUUGUAGGUACCAUAUGAAUAAGGAUCGGCUAACUCCGUGCCAGCAGCCGCGGUAAUACGGAGGAUCCGGGCGUUAUCCGGAUUUAUUGGGUUUAAAGGGAGCGUAGGUGGGUUGUUAAGUCAGUUGUGAAAGUUUGCGGCUCAACCGUGAAAGUGCAGUUGAAAAUGGCAGUCUUGAGUACGGUAGAGGUGGGCGGAAUUCGUGGUGUAGCGGUGAAAUGCUUAGAUAUCACGAAGAACUCCGAUUGCGAAGGCAGCUCACUGGACUGCAACUGACACUGAAGCUCGAAAGUGUGGGUAUCGAACAGGAUGAGAUACCCCAGUAGUC